rnacentral:rRNA from 1 species
AGACGGAGGAUGCAAGUGUUAUCCGGAAUCACUGGGCGUAAAGCGUCUGUAGGUGGUCAAAUAAGUCAACUGUUAAAUCUUGAGGCUCAACCUCAAAAUCGCAGUCGAAACUAUUAGACUAGAGUAUAGUAGGGGUAAAGGGAAUUUCCAGUGGAGCGGUGAAAUGCGUAGAGAUUGGAAAGAACACCGAUGGCGAAGGCACUUUACUGGGCUAUUACUAACACUGAGAGACGAAAGCUAGGGUAGCAAAUGGGAUUAGAUACCCCAGUAGUCCUAGCCGUAAACAAUGGAUACUAGAUGUUGAACAGAUCGACCUGUGCAGUAUCAAAGCUAACGCGUUAAGUAUCCCGCCUGGGAAGUAUGCUCGCAAGAGUGAA